GUGCUUGCUUUGGCAGCACAGAGACUAAAAUUGGAACACUACAGAAAUCAGCAUGGCCCUGCACAAGGAUGAUAGGCAAAUUUUGUGGGGUGAUCCAUAGCUGU